rnacentral:rRNA from 1 species
CUGGCUCAGGAUGAACGCUGGCGGCGUGCUUAACACAUGCAAGUCGAACGAUGAUGCCUAGCUUGCUAGGUGGAUUAGUGGCGAACGGGUGAGUAACACGUGAGUAACCUGCCCCUGACUCUGGGAUAAGCCUGAGAAAUUGGGUCUAAUACUGGAUAUGAACAUUUACCGCAUGGUGGGUGUUGGAAAGAUUUUUUGGUUGGGGAUGGACUCGCGGCCUAUCAGCUUGUUGGUGAGGUAGUGGCUCACCAAGGCGACGACGGGUAGCCGGCCUGAGAGGGUGACCGGCCACACUGGGACUGAGACACGGCCCAGACUCCUACGGGAGGCAGCAGUGGGGAAUAUUGCACAAUGGGCGAAAGCCUGAUGCAGCGACGCCGCGUGAGGGAUGACGGCCUUCGGGUUGUAAACCUCUUUCCAGUAAGGAAGAAAGCGAAAGUGACCGUACU